UACGGGGGGAGCAAGCGUUGUUCGGAUUUACUGGGCGUAAAGGGCGCGUAGGCGGUCGUGACAAGUCACUUGUGAAAUCUCCGGGCUUAACUCGGAACGGUCAAGUGAUACUGUCGGACUAGAGUACAGAAGGGGGCAACUGGAAUUCUCGGUGUAGCGGUGAAAUGCGUAGAUAUCGAGAGGAACACCUGCGGCGAAGGCGGGUUGCUGGGCUGAUACUGACGCUGGAGGCGCGAAAGCCAGGGGAGCGAACGGG
rnacentral:rRNA from 1 species